GUCGGCGAACAGCUCUGCAAGGACCGCCGCAGGCCACAAGUGCACGGGGUGCCAGGAGCUCCCCGUCCCCGGCCCCCAGCCCGGGCUGAAACAGCAACGGUUUGCCCGGGCCCUCCCCCUUCCCUCUUCCCCAGCAAAUCUACCCAGACCGGAAGCGCGACACGCGCUUAGACCCGAGCCUUCUCUCAGCCUCGGGACCAGGUGCUUGUUGGCUACGUCGAAAAGGCAAAAGUAAAGAAAGCGAAGGCGAAGGGCAGCUCAAUGGGAACGAUUCAGGGGGUCUUCCCGGCUCCCAGCACCCCCAAGAAGAUGGCUGCCGGUAAAUCUCGCGAGAAUUGAUGAAGUCUCGCGGUGGCUCCCGGAGCCUGCUGGGAGAGACGUAAGAUGACAAAAUUGGGGUCUGGACGUGUGCAAGGACUUUUCCAAAGUCAGCUGGAAAGGAGCUGCUUAGCUGAGAGGUUCUGGCUCCAGAGUCUCCUGUGAAGUUGCAGUCAAGAUGUCUGCUGGGACCCCAGUCAUUUGAAGCCCUGUCUGGGGCAGGAGAAUCUAGGUCCAAAAUGGCCGUUGCAGGAGUCCUUAUCCACACCAUGUGGGACCUCUUCAUAGAUGUUCGAGUGUCCUCAUGGCAUGGCCACUGGCUUUCCCCAAAGUAAGCAGUCCAAAAGAGGGUAAGACAGAGCCCACACUGUCUUUUAUGAAUUAGCCUUAGAAGUCUAACACGGUUACUUCCACCACAUUCAUUAGUCGUUAGGUACAGCUCACAUUCAUGGGGAGGAAAAUCAGGGCCUGUCUUUAGAUAGGAGAUGUAUCAAAGAAUUUGUGGACAUAUUUUAAAAUCACAGCACUACUCUUGAUGUACUAAGUCAGUGACUCCCCCAGGAGUCUCACAGAGAAUUGACUCCUUGCCCACCUAUACUACCUUUGUGGGUAGAGACUCCAGUAGUGUGCUGGUUAAUGUUCAACCAGUGGCUUUCUAGAAAACAAAAUGUAUGGAUACAUAUAUAUGUUCUAAGUUUUACUGAUAUGAAGAAUGUGUAGCACAGAAUUUAUAAAUAAUAAAAUAUACAGUAUUAUUUAUUGUAAAUUCCAUAAAACCUGUUGUUUUUCACAAAAGGUUUUAGUUUAUUUUUCCCAAAUGCUUGUAUUGGUAACAUUUUCUGUAUUACCUUUUUAUGUCCAGACAAUCAACAAAACUGAAAAAGCCCAGCCUUGUAGCAUUUGCCAGUUAUUGUGUAAAUGUCCCCACUAUGGUGGAUUUCAGGUUACCACUAUGAUAUCACAGAAUGCAGAAUUGGAAGGAGAUUCACAGCAGCACCCCAUUAUACUAUAUUUUCACCAUACAGAUGCAGUCGAUGUAAAUUACCUGAGGAGCAUAAAUAAUAAUAAAAUGAAGUUAAAUAAUUCGGAAAUGAUUUUGAAAAUUGUGUUGGUUUUUAAUGUAAGUUUAUAUGUCAGCUUUAAUAAAAUCUGUCUUUAACAACUAGCUUGAAGAAUUCUUGAAAAAUUAAUAAUCAGCUCUCAUAGGCUAGUGACAACUGGCUUCAGUGCACCCCUGACUAGAAACACCUUUGCUUUCCACCACAUGUGGAAUUCCCAGUAUUUCAACAAUCAGAAUUGAGCUUAUGAGCCAACCAAG
rnacentral:lncRNA from 10 species